rnacentral:rRNA from 1 species
AUUGAACGCUGGCGGCAUGCCUAACACAUGCAAGUCGAGCGGACGAAGGGGGCUUUCUCUUGGCUGCAGUUGCCGACGGGCGGGUAAUUCACACGAAUCUGCCCUACCUAUAGGGAUGACGUCCGUUCACGAGCCCUGAUCUCACAUCCGUCCUUAUGUUGAACCUCAUGGAUCUUCGGAGCACGACGGUCUUGCUGUGCCUAGUAGAUGUAUUCGAGCUGCAUUAGCUAGUUGGUACGGUAACGGCCUACCAAGGCAACGAUGCGUAGCCGACCUGAGAGGAUGAUCAGCCACACUGGAACUGAGACACGGUCCAGACUCCUACGGGAGGCAGCAGUAGGGAAUCUUGCGCAAUGGGCGAAAGCCUGACGGAGCAACGCCGCGUGAGUGAUGAAGGUCUUCGGAUCGUAAAACUCUGUUAGUAGGGAAGAAGAUAUGUGUAUGUAACCGUGCAUAUCUUGACGGUACCAAAUGAGAAAGCCACGGCUAACUACGUG